rnacentral:rRNA from 1 species
UCAGACGAUGCGUCAUGCAUAUCAAUAAGCGGAGGAAAAGAAACUAACUAGGAUUCCCUUAGUAACGGCGAGUGAAGCGGGAAGAGCUCAAAUUUGAAAUCUUCAAGGUUUUACCUUGACGAAUUGUAGUUUAAAGAAGUGUUUUCUGUUGGAGUUUUGGUAAAAGUUCUUUGGAAUAGGACAUCAUAGAGGGUGAGAAUCCCGUAUUUGACCAUUAUUUCCAGCUGUGUGAUACACUUUCAAAGAGUCGGAUUGUUUGGGAAUGCAGUCCAAAAUGGGUGGUAAAUUUCAUCUAAAGCUAAAUAUUGGCGAGAGACCGAUAGCGAACAAGUACCGUGAGGGAAAGAUGAAAAGAACUUUGAAAAGAGAGUUAAACAGUACGUGAAAUUGUCAAAAGGGAAGCGUUUGACACCAGUGUUGUUUUCUCGAAAAUCAAUUAAAAAGAGUUGGAUUUUGUGUUGUAUUGACCUUAACAGCUUGCUUCACUCUUUUCCUGCUUUUUUUAAUGCACUUUUCGUUUAACAAGUCAACAUCAGUUUCUUUUGUUGUAAAAGGGUCAUUGGAAGGUGGCUUUCUCUUCGGAGAAAGUGUUUAUAGCCUUUGAUCUCUGCAAUCGGAGAGACUGAGGUCUGCAGCGUAGAUCCUUCGGGGUUAGAUACAUUUGUGCUAAGCUACAGCUUUUCAUAGACAACUUGUUGACUAUGUUUAGUCUUGUAGCUUACCCGCUUAUGCUAUUUUACCUACGCUUAGGAUGUUGAUAUGCAUGACUGAUA